GAGAGAGACAUGCGCGCAUAUCAAUAAGCGGAGGAAAAGAAACUAACAAGGAUUCCCUUAGUAACGGCGAGUGAAGCGGGAAGAGCUCAAAUUUGAAAUCUUCAAGGUUUUACCUUGACGAAUUGUAGUUUAAAGAAGUGUUUUCUGCUGAAGUUUUGGUAAAAGUUCUUUGGAAUAGGACAUCAUAGAGGGUGAGAAUCCCGUAUUUGACCAUUAUUUUCAGCUUUGUGAUACACUUUCAAAGAGUCGGAUUGUUUGGGAAUGCAGUCCAAAAUGGGUGGUAAAUUUCAUCUAAAGCUAAAUAUUGGCGAGAGACCGAUAGCGAACAAGUACCGUGAGGGAAAGAUGAAAAGAACUUUGAAAAGAGAGUUAAACAGUACGUGAAAUUGUCAAAAGGGAAGCGUUUGACACCAGUGUUGUUUUCUCGAAAAUCAAUUAAAAAUGGCUCGAUUUUGUAUUGCUGAGACCUUAAAAGCUCACUGUACAUUUUUUCGUGUCUUUUUUAAUGCACUUUUCGUUUAACAAGUCAACAUCAGUUUCUUUUGUUGUAAAAGGGUCAUUGGAAGGUGGCUUUCUUUUCGGAGAAAGUGUUUAUAGCCUUUGGCCUCUGCAAUCGGAAGAGACUGAGGUCUGCAGCGUAGACUCUUCGGGGUUAGAUACAUUUGUGCUAAGUUAUAGCUUUUUAUAGACAACUUGUUGACUAUAUUUAGUCUUGUAGGCUUACUCGCUUAUGCUAUUUUACCUACGCUUAGGAUGUUGAAGUCAUCGUAUCGCGC
rnacentral:rRNA from 1 species